GGGGCGUAGCGCAGUCUGGUAGCGUACCUGAAUGGGGUUCAGGUGGCCGCUGGUUCAAAUC
rnacentral:tRNA from 1 species